UCUUCGAUUCGACAUCUAUGUUUCCCCAUAUUAAGAUCACAUACGAUUCCUUCAUACUUUGCAUCUUAGUUUCUUGGAACAGACACAAAUCCACCAUUCCUUUAGUGAUCGCUUGUUGAACGCACUUCCUCUUGAUAGAGUUGCAACACCCCUGAUUGUUAUAAGAAAGCAUAUUCAUUGAGCACCUUUGGUUUUUCUUCCUUUAAUCUACGACCUUUUUUAUUUCGUUUCUCUAUUCCUCUGAUUUUAUUUACAUACACAUUAUCUUCUUCC
rnacentral:lncRNA from 1 species